CUCCUCACUCCACCCUCUUGGGGGGUCCGCUGGGAGGGUUGUUUGGAACUAGACACUGCCUGUCUCCUAAUUUUCCCAACUCACUCUGAACUUCUCAGGUGACGGGGCAUCUGGCCUCUGGUAGGGCUGAGAGAAGGGCGUUGGGCCCGGCAUCUCACAGAGUCAGUGAUGAGCCAGGAUCAUAAGAAUCAAGGAUGCAUGUAUUGAGCCAGAGCCUGUACACGGACACUACCAGAAGGAGACACUCCAGGGGCUCAGCCACCUUAGCUCCAUUUUACAGACAAGGAAGCCAUGUCCAUGCGAUCCCACUCAUUGACCCAACCACAGGGCUCCUAAAGACAGCUAACUCACCCUGACUCAUUUAACCUCUUGACAACACUAUUCAAGGCAUCGCUACUAUUAUCUUCAUCAUCCAGGUGCUGCCUCAGUUUCUUCUGAAUAAUUACUUUCUGAGUCACCAGAGGCACUGAACUGAAUGACACAGAUGAAAGGCACCCAUUUUAGUUUGCCACCUGUUUUGAUCUGCACUCUUGCAAAGAUGAGCAAGGACGGGUGAGAAAGACUAGCUGAAUGCCCAAAGUCAUCCUGCCAUCAGGUGACAGAGCCAGGAUCCAGCAAACAGUUUCCAACGCCUGGUUUGGAUUACUGUUCAACAAAAGUUUACUUCGCCUCCCCCAGCUCUUCCUUCUGUGGGCAGAGUAUGCAUCUCCAUGUCGUUGAUAUUGGGCUUAGCCAUGUCUCUUACUUUGGGUGAUGGGGUGUUAGCGACAUGACAUGGGCUUACUCUCUUGUUCUGCUCUCAUGCCAAUGAGAAGAACAUGUCCUGACUAGCCUGUGCGUCCAUGGAGAAUGAAGGAUACGCGAAACAGACCCAGACCCAAUUCACUGUGUACAGCCAAGCCCAGCAUAUCCACAGACUCACGAGCGAGCAUAAUGGAUUGUUGUCUUAAGUCAUUGAAUGUUAGGGUGGUUUGUUAAACAGCAUUAUUACAGCAAUCACUGACUGAUACUGA